AGUGAACGCUGGCGGUAGGCCUAACACAUGCAAGUCGAACGGCAGCACAGUAAGAGCUCGCCCUUAAGGGUGGCGAGUGGCGGACGGGUGAGGAAUACAUCGGAAUCUACUUUUUCGUGGGGGAUAACGUAGGGAAACUUACGCUAAUACCGCAUACGACCUACGGGUGAAAGCAGGGGAUCUUCGGACCUUGCGCGAUUGAAUGAGCCGAUGUCGGAUUAGCUAGUUGGCGGGGUAAAGGCCCACCAAGGCGACGAUCCGUAGCUGGUCUGAGAGGAUGAUCAGCCACACUGGAACUGAGACACGGUCCAGACUCCUACGGGAGGCAGCAGUGGGGAAUAUUGGACAAUGGGCGCAAGCCUGAUCCAGCCAUACCGCGUGGGUGAAGAAGGCCUUCGGGUUGUAAAGCCCUUUUGUUGGGAAAGAAAAGCAGCAGGUUAAUACCCCGCUGUUCUGACGGUACCCAAAGAAUAAGCACCGGCUAACUUCGUG
rnacentral:rRNA from 1 species